rnacentral:rRNA from 1 species
AGGACGAACGCUGGCGGCGUGCCUAACACAUGCAAGUCGAGCGAUCUCUUCGGAGAAGAGCGGCGGACGGGUGAGUAACGCGUGGGUAACCUGCCUCAUACACAUGGAUAACAUACCGAAAGGUAUGCUAAUACGGGAUAAUGUAAGAGAUUCACAUGGAUUUCUUAUCAAAGCUCCGGCGGUAUGAGAUGGACCCGCGUCUGAUUAGCUAGUUGGUAAGGUAAUGGCUUACCAAGGCGACGAUCAGUAGCCGACCUGAGAGGGUGAUCGGCCACAUUGGAACUGAGACACGGUCCAAACUCCUACGGGAGGCAGCAGUGGGGAAUAUUGCACAAUGGGCGAAAGCCUGAUGCAGCAACGCCGCGUGAGUGAUGAAGGCCUUCGGGUCGUAAAACUCUGUCCUCAAGGAAGAUAAUGACGGUACUUGAGGAGGAAGCCCCGGCUAACUACGUGCCAGCCGCAGC